CACGUAGGGGGCAAGCGUUGUCCGGAUUUAUUGGGCGUAAAGAGCGUGUAGGCGGCCUGACAGGUCUGCUGUGAAAACUCGAGGCUCAACCUCGAGAUGUCGGCGGAAACCGUCUGGCUAGAGUCCGGAAGAGGCGAGUGGAAUUCCUGGUGUAGCGGUGGAAUGCGCAGAUAUCAGGAGGAACACCAAUAGCGAAGGCAGCUCGCUGGGACGGUACUGACGCUGAGGCGCGAAAGCGUGGGGAGCGAACAGG
rnacentral:rRNA from 1 species